GCAUGCUUACCAUGCAGUCGAACGGCAGCACGGACUUCGGUCUGGUGGCGAGUGGCGAACGGGUGAGUAAUGCAUCGGAACGUGCCAUUGAGUGGGGGAUAACGUAGCGAAAGUUGCGCUAAUACCGCAUAUUCUGUGAGCAGGAAAGCAGGGGACCGCAAGGCCUUGCGCUCUUUGAGCGGCCGAUGUCAGAUUAGCUAGUUGGUGAGGUAAAGGCUUACCAAGGCGACGAUCUGUAGCGGGUCUGAGAGGAUGAUCCGCCACACUGGAACUGAGACACGGUCCAGACUCCUACGGGAGGCAGCAGUGGGGAAUUUUGGACAAUGGGGGCAACCCUGAUCCAGCCAUGCCGCGUGAGUGAAGAAGGCCUUCGGGUUGUAAAGCUCUUUCGGCCGGGAAGAAAUCGCAUGGGCCAAUACCCUGUGUGGAUGACGGUACCGGAAUAAGAAGCACCGGCUAACUACGUGCCAGCAGCCGCGGUAAUACGUAGGGUGCGAGCGUUAAUCGGAAUUACUGGGCGUAAAGCGUGCGCAGGCGGUUUUGUAAGACAGGCGUGAAAUCCCCGGGCUUAACCUGGGAACUGCGUUUGUGACUGCAAGGCUAGAGUACGGCAGAGGGGGGUGGAAUUCCACGUGUAGCAGUGAAAUGCGUAGAGAUGUGGAGGAACACCAAUGGCGAAGGCAGCCCCCUGGGUCGAUACUGACGCUCAUGCACGAAAGCGUGGGUAGCAAACAGGAUUAGAUACCCUGGUAGUCCACGCCCUAAACUAUGUCAACUAGGUGUUGGGUGG
rnacentral:rRNA from 1 species